rnacentral:rRNA from 1 species
GACGAACGCUGGCGGCGUGCUUAACACAUGCAAGUCGAACGCUGAAGGCCCAGCUUGCUGGGUUGGAUGAGUGGCGAACGGGUGAGUAACACGUGAGUAACCUGCCCCCUUCUUUGGGAUAACGGUCGGAAACGGCUGCUAAUACCGGGUAUUCACUGUCCUUCGCAUGGGGGGUGGUGGAAAGGUUUUUUCUGGUGGGGGAUGGGCUCGCGGCCUAUUUUAUUGUUGGUGGUUUGAGAGCUUGCUCGCACCUUAACUAGUACCCCGGCUGGAGGGGGGAACUGGGACAUUGCUUCUUAACCCCCUACCCUCAAUACUACCAUUGUUGCGGCUUGACAAUGAGGGAAAAAGGUUUACAACCCGAAGGCCUCCAUCCCUCGGGCGGCAUCACUGCAUCCGGUUUUCGCCCGUUGUGCCAUAUUGCCCACUGCUCCCCCCCGGUGGAGUGUAGGCUGGGGGGUAAAAAAAGAUGUGACCAGUCACCCGCCACGCCGGGGACAAGACAUAGGGUUGGAGGCCAUCAGCCAAUCAUGGGGGAGAAGGGUGUGAGCCGGUUUGUCAUAUCAUCCCUCCUCAUCCCCCGGGUGAAUGGGGGCAUGCGGGGGUCACCGGCUUGCUCAUUUCUGAAAGGGGGGACGGGAGCCCCGGGUGAGUUUUGAAUUGCCACACUCCAAGCAGAAUGCAGUUGCAAAGUGUGUUGUUUGUGUCUUUGACUACCCCCACGAGCGAAAACGGGGGGAGAG